AUACAGUUGAUGAAUCCCAAAUAGAACGAAACGCAUGUCCUGAAU
rnacentral:hammerhead_ribozyme from 1 species